CUUUAACACUGAGGCGUGACGACGAGGCACUACGGUGCUGAAGCAACAAAUGCCCUGCUUCCAGGAAAAGCCUCUAAGCAUCAGGUAACAUCAAAUCGUACCCCAAACCGACACAGGUGGUCAGGUAGAGAAUACCAAGGCGCUUGAGAGAACUCGGGUGAAGGAACUAGGCAAAAUGGUGCCGUAACUUCGGGAGAAGGCACGCUGACACGUAGGUGAAGUGAUUUACUCAUGGAGCUGAAGUCAGUCGAAGAUACCAGCUGGCUGCAACUGUUUAUUAAAAACACAGCACUGUGCAAACACGAAAGUGGACGUAUACGGUGUGACGCCUGCCCGGUGCCGGAAGGUUAAUUGAUGGGGUCAGCGCAAGCGAAGCUCCUGAUCGAAGCCCCGGUAAACGGCGGCCGUAACUAUAACGGUCCUAAGGUAGCGAAAUUCCUUGUCGGGUAAGUUCCGACCUGCACGAAUGGCGUAAUGAUGGCCAGGCUGUCUCCACCCGAGACUCAGUGAAAUUGAACUCGCUGUGAAGAUGCAGUGUACCCGCGGCAAGACGGAAAGACCCCGUGAACCUUUACUAUAGCUUGACACUGAACAUUGAGCCUUGAUGUGUAGGAUAGGUGGGAGGCUUUGAAGUGUGGACGCCAGUCUGCAUGGAGCCGACCUUGAAAUACCACCCUUUAAUGUUUGAUGUUCUAACGUGGACCCGUUACCCGGGUUGCGGACAGUGUCUGGUGGGUAGUUUGACUGGGGCGGUCUCCUCCUAAAGAGUAACGGAGGAGCACGAAGGUUGGCUAAUCCUGGUCGGACAUCAGGAGGUUAGUGCAAUGGCAUAAGCCAGCUUGACUGCGAGCGUGACGGCGCGAGCAGGUGCGAAAGCAGGUCAUAGUGAUCCGGUGGUUCUGAAUGGAAGGGCCAUCGCUCAACGGAUAAAAGGUACUCCGGGGAUAACAGGCUGAUACCGCCCAAGAGUUCAUAUCGACGGCGGUGUUUGGCACCUCGAUGUCGGCUCAUCACAUCCUGGGGCUGAAGUAGGUCCCAAGGGUAUGGCUGUUCGCCAUUUAAAGUGGUACGCGAGCUGGGUUUAGAACGUCGUGAGACAGUUCGGUCCCUAUCUGCCGUGGGCGCUGGAGAACUGAGGGGGGCUGCUCCUAGUACGAGAGGACCGGAGUGGACGCAUCACUGGUGUUCGGGUUGUCAUGCCAAUGGCACUGCCCGGUAGCUAAAUGCGGAAGAGAUAAGUGCUGAAAGCAUCUAAGCACGAAACUUGCCCCGAGAUGAGUUCUCCCUGAGACUUAGAGUCUCCUGAAGGAACGUUGAAGACGACGACGUUGAUAGGCCGGGUGUGUAAGCGCAGCGAUGCGUUGAGCUAACCGGUACUAAUGAACCGUGAGGCUUAACCUU
rnacentral:rRNA from 1 species